rnacentral:rRNA from 1 species
GACGAACGCUGGCGGCGUGCUUAACACAUGCAAGUCGAGCGGUAAGGCCCUUUCGGGGGUACACGAGCGGCGAACGGGUGAGUAACACGUGGGUGACCUGCCUUUAGCUCUGGGAUAAGCCUGGGAAACUGGGUCUAAUACCGGAUAUGACUCCAUGAUGCAUGUUGUGGGGUGGAAAGCCUUGUGCGGCUGGAGAUGGGCCCGCGGCCUAUCAGCUUGUUGGUGGGGUGANGGCCUACCAAGGCGACGACGGGUAGCCGGCCUGAGAGGGCGAAACCGGCCACACUGGGACUGAGACACGGCCCAGACUCCUACGGGAGGCAGCAGU